rnacentral:lncRNA from 1 species
AUAACAAGCAGGGCACAUGGGCAGCGACUACCCCCACUCACAGCCAAAGCAGCAAAUACCUGCAGACAGCAUCCUCCCCUGCCUGGACUCAGCCUGAAAACCACAUCCUAAGGCUGCCACGUAUUUACUUGUAAAAUACUAUGCUAAAACCAGAGUGCAAAAUUAUGUGUUGGGCAUUCAAAGCUAUGUGAGGAUGAGGAGCAUACUUCUGGAGCAUCAGCUGAAUUCCACGGCACAUGGCCAGGACCCAGAGAUUCCCUCGGAGCUUCCUGGUGCACCCUCACCCAGCUGUAGACUAGAAGGAACCCCUCUGCCAUUUUUGCCACCUCAUCCAUCCAAUUAAGCGGGCUCUCGGGGAUGAGGGAAAACGGGCUGUUUCCUUGACAGCAAAUACUCUGACUGAAACAAUUAGUUUGUCUAUUUUAAAACUGAAUUCCAAUGCUUCCAUGGCAACCAAAGUUAUUAAAAGAUGUAAAUUAAAGUGUUGCACAGGAAAGAUGGCUUGGCAUAGAAGGCGCUUGUUUUGGGGAAAGAACACAAAGAACUUGAAACCAAGGGCAUCCCCCUACCUGGACGUGUGCUGCGAUCAGCUGGUGCACUGAAACGGCUCCAGCCAUCCGACAGCUCCUCCCGUGCCCUUGGCUUCUACCACUGCCUCACAUCAGGGACACCUCUGUCCCUCACAUGCACGAGAGAGAGGAGGGGGUUUACACUUUCUGAAGCCCUUUGUGCAAAGAAAAAAUCCUAAGGAGGGUAGAGAGGCAGAACUGACUUCUGUGCUGGGCCUACUAUCUGCCUACUAACAGUUACGGUUGACAAGUAUCAAGUCUUCCUGUGCCCUGGGAAUUGUGCUAAGGGAUUUGC